CACAAGACUACCCCCUUCACAUGCCAGCAGCAAAUAUGGGGCCCAAGUUACCCACAUUUCUGCCCAGCUGACUACAACUUCUGGUUUCCAUGACCCCCUCUCAGGUUUGAUAGUUUGCUAGAACAACUCACAAAGUGAAGGAAAAUGGUGUACUUACUAUUACUGGCUUAUUAUAAAAGCUACAACUCAGAAACAGCCAAAAGGAGGAGAUGCACAGAGCAAGGUGUGACCAGUCCGCAUCCUGAUACUGUCUCGGAGUCCCCCAGCCAAGAAUCAUCUCAUCAGCAUAAACUCAGGCAAUGCUGAAAGGUGCUUGUUAUGGAUAACAAAAGGCAGUCCUAACACUAAGGAAUUUC
rnacentral:lncRNA from 1 species